rnacentral:tRNA from 1 species
ACCUCCCUGGCUCAGUUGAUAGAGUGUGUGACUCUUGAUCUCAGGGUCAUGAGUUCAAGCCCCAUGUUGGGUG